rnacentral:rRNA from 1 species
AUUGAACGCUGGCGGCAGGCCUAACACAUGCAAGUCGAGCGAGCGGCGGACGGGUGAGUAAUGUAUGGGGAUCUGCCUGAUAGAGGGGGAUAACUACUGGAAACGGUAGCUAAUCCCGCAUACUAUCGGAUGAACCCAUAUGGGAUUAGCUAGUAGGUGGGGUAAAGGCUCACCUAGGCGACGAUCCCUAGCUGGUCUGUGAGGAUGAUCAGCCACACUGGGACUGGGACACGGCCCAGACUCCUACGGUAGGCAGCAGUGGGGAAUAUUGAACAAUGGGCGCAAGCCUGAUGCAGCCAUGCCGCGUGUAUGAAGAAGGCCUUAGGGUUGUAAAGUACUUUCAGCGGGGAGGCGUUACCCGCAGAAGAAGCACCGGCUAACUCCGUGCCAGCAGCCGCGGUAAUAC